GUUAUAACACCGGUUCUCGCACGAUGACCGAAAUUCAGCAACGUCGAGCCUGGUCAGUACCUAGAUGGGUGACCGCUUGGGAAUACCAGGUGCUGUAAG